AGUCGUAACAAGGUCUCCGUAGGUGAACCUGCGGAGGGAUCAUUAACGCUCUCUCUCAAUAACAUCAACAAAGGCUUUGUGUGUGUGUAUACGCGUUUGCUGUGUGUGUGUGUUUACGCACACACACGCAGUAAAUGCCUACAUGCACGCACACAAAGCUGAACGCCUAUUUUGUGCGCGCGCGCACUUGAAAUUACGCGCGUAUGCAUGCUUAACCGUGUGUGUGUGUGCGCGCAAAUUCCAAGUGUCGUCGUUGUUAAAGUACUCCAACAUAUAUACUUAAAACUACCAAUUUACACUUGAACAAAACCAUUAUUAUACAAAAACGUAACAAAACCAAAUAACAACUCCUAACAACGGAUAUCUUGGUUCUCGCGAGGAUGAAGAACGCAGC
rnacentral:misc_RNA from 1 species